ACGCUGGCGGCACGCCUAACACAUGCAAGUCGACCGCAGUCCUUCGGGACCGAGCGGCGGACGUUCUUAGUAACGCGUGGGAACAUACCCUUUUCUACGGAAUAGCCUCGGGAAACUGAGAGUAAUACCGUAUAAGCCCUUCGGGGGAAAGAUUUAUCGGGAAAGGAUUGGCCCGCGUUAGAUUAGAUAGUUGGUGGGGUAAUGGCCUACCAAGUCUACGAUCUAUAGCUGGUUUUAGAGGAUGAUCAGCAACACUGGGACUGAGACACGGCCCAGACUCCUACGGGAGGCAGCAGUGGGGAAUCUUAGACAAUGGGCGCAAGCCUGAUCUAGCCAUGCCGCGUGUGUGAUGAAGGUCUUAGGAUCGUAAAGCACUUUCGCCAGGGAUGAUAAUGACAGUACCUGGUAAAGAAACCCCGGCUAACUCCGUGCCAGCAGCCGCGGUAAUACGGAGGGGGUUAGCGUUGUUCGGAAUUACUGGGCGUAAAGCGUACGUAGGCGGAUCAGAAAGUUAGGGGUGAAAUCCCGAGGCUCAACCUCGGAACUGCCUCUAAAACUCCUGGUCUUGAGUUCGAGAGAGGUGAGUGGAAUUCCAAGUGUAGAGGUGAAAUUCGUAGAUAUUUGGAGGAACACCAGUGGCGAAGGCGGCUCACUGGCUCGAUACUGACGCUGAGGUACGAAAGUGUGGGGAGCAAACAGGAUUAGAUACCCUGGUAGUCCACACCGUAAACGAUGAAUGCCAGUCGUCGGGCAGUAUACUGUUCGGUGACACACCUAACGGAUUAAGCAUUCCGCCUGGGGAGUACGGUCGCAAGAUUAAACUCAAAGGAAUUGACGGGGGGCCGCACAACGGGGGAGCAUGUGGUUUAUUCGAAGCAACGCGCAAAACCUUACCACCCUUGACAUCCUGUGCUAACUCGAGAGAUCGAGCGUUCACUUCGGUAACGCAGUGACAGGUGCUGCAUGGCUGUCGUCAGCUCGUGUCGUGAGAUGUUCGGUUAAGUCCGGCAACGAGCGCAACCCACAUCCUUAGUUGCCAGCAGUUCGGCUGGGCACUCUAGGGAAACUGCCCGUGAUAAGCGGGAGGAAGGUGUGGAUGACGUCAAGUCCUCAUGGCCCUUACGGGUUGGGCUACACACGUGCUACAAUGGCAGUUACAGAGGGUUAAUCCCAAAAGUCAGUCGUAGUUCGGAUUGGAGUCUGCAACUCGACUCCAUGAAGUCGGAAUCGCUAGUAAUCGUGAAUCAGAAUGUCACGGUGAAUACGUUCCCGGGCCUUGUACACACCGCCCGUCACACCAUGGGAGUGGGCUGCAAAAGAAGUGGGCAGUUUAACCUUCA
rnacentral:rRNA from 1 species